CCUACGGGAGGCAGCAGUAAGGAAUAUUGGUCAAUGGACGAAAGUCUGAACCAGCCAUGCCGCGUGAAGGAUGACGGCCCUCUGGGUUGUAAACUUCUUUUAUAGGGGACGAAAAAAGGGUAUUCUUACUCACUUGACGGUACCCUAGGAAUAAGCACCGGCUAACUCCGUGCCAGCAGCCGCGGUAAUACGGAGGGUGCAAGCGUUAUCCGGAUUCACUGGGUUUAAAGGGUGCGUAGGUGGGUCUAUAAGUCAGUGGUGAAAUCUCCGAGCUUAACUCGGAAACUGCCAUUGAUACUAUAGGCCUUGAAUUAUCUGGAGGUAAGCGGAAUAUGUCAUGUAGCGGUGAAAUGCUUAGAUAUGACAUAGAACACCAAUUGCGAAGGCAGCUUACUACGGAUAUAUUGACACUGAGGCACGAAAGCGUGGGGAUCAAACAGGAUUAGAUACCCUGGUAGUCCACGCCCUAAACUAUGGAUACUCGACAUCAGCGAUACACUGUUGGUGUCUGAGNGAGANAUAUAUCCACCAGAGACGACGCGAGUAGAACGACGAAGAAGUAGAGCGUGAGAGNGACGACGACGACGACGAGGAGGAGG
rnacentral:rRNA from 1 species